GGGUUGUGAGGUUAAGCGACUAAGCGUACACGGUGGAUGCCCUGGCAGUCAGAGGCGAUGAAGGACGUGCUAAUCUGCGAUAAGCGUCGGUAAGGUGAUAUGAACCGUUAUAACCGGCGAUUUCCGAAUGGGGAAACCCAGUGUGAUUCGUCACACUAUCAUUAACUGAAUCCAUAGGUUAAUGAGGCGAACCGGGGGAACUGAAACAUCUAAGUACCCCGAGGAAAAGAAAUCAACCGAGAUUCCCCCAGUAGCGGCGAGCGAACGGGGAGNNCUGUGAGCUCGAUGAGUAGGGCGGGACACGUGGUAUCCUGUCUGAAUAUGGGGGGACCAUCCUCCAAGGCUAAAUACUCCUGACUGACCGAUAGUGAACCAGUACCGUGAGGGAAAGGCGAAAAGAACCCCGGCGAGGGGAGUGAAAAAGAACCUGAAACCGUGUACGUACAAGCAGUGGGAGCACAGAGCAAUCUGUGUGACUGCGUACCUUUUGUAUAAUGGGUCAGCGACUUAUAUUCUGUAGCAAGGUUAACCGAAUAGGGGAGCCGAAGGGAAACCGAGUCUUAACCGGGCGUUAAGUUGCAGGGUAUAGACCCGAAACCCGGUGAUCUAGCCAUGGGCAGGUUGAAGGUUGGGUAACACUAACUGGAGGACCGAACCGACUAAUGUUGAAAAAUUAGCGGAUGACUUGUGGCUGGGGGUGAAAGGCCAAUCAAACCGGGAGAUAGCUGGUUCUCCCCGAAAGCUAUUUAGGUAGCGCCUCGUGAAUUCAUCUCCGGGGGUAGAGCACUGUUUCGGCAAGGGGGUCAUCCCGACUUACCAACCCGAUGCAAACUGCGAAUACCGGAGAAUGUUAUCACGGGAGACACACGGCGGGUGCUAACGUCCGUCGUGAAGAGGGAAACAACCCAGACCGCCAGCUAAGGUCCCAAAGUCAUGGUUAAGUGGGAAACGAUGUGGGAAGGCCCAGACAGCCAGGAUGUUGGCUUAGAAGCAGCCAUCAUUUAAAGAAAGCGUAAUAGCUCACUGGUCGAGUCGGCCUGCGCGGAAGAUGUAACGGGGCUAAACCAUGCACCGAAGCUGCGGCAGCGACACUGUGUGUUGUUGGGUAGGGGAGCGUUCUGUAAGCCUGUGAAGGUGUGCUGUGAGGCAUGCUGGAGGUAUCAGAAGUGCGAAUGCUGACAUAAGUAACGAUAAAGCGGGUGAAAAGCCCGCUCGCCGGAAGACCAAGGGUUCCUGUCCAACGUUAAUCGGGGCAGGGUGAGUCGACCCCUAAGGCGAGGCCGAAAGGCGUAGUCGAUGGGAAACAGGUUAAUAUUCCUGUACUUGGUGUUACUGCGAAGGGGGGACGGAGAAGGCUAUGUUGGCCGGGCGACGGUUGUCCCGGUUUAAGCGUGUAGGCUGGUUUUCCAGGCAAAUCCGGAAAAUCAAGGCUGAGGCGUGAUGACGAGGCACUACGGUGCUGAAGCAACAAAUGCCCUGCUUCCAGGAAAAGCCUCUAAGCAUCAGGUAACAUCAAAUCGUACCCCAAACCGACACAGGUGGUCAGGUAGAGAAUACCAAGGCGCUUGAGAGAACUCGGGUGAAGGAACUAGGCAAAAUGGUGCCGUAACUUCGGGAGAAGGCACGCUGAUAUGUAGGUGAAGUCCCUCGCGGAUGGAGCUGAAAUCAGUCGAAGAUACCAGCUGGCUGCAACUGUUUAUUAAAAACACAGCACUGUGCAAACACGAAAGUGGACGUAUACGGUGUGACGCCUGCCCGGUGCCGGAAGGUUAAUUGAUGGGGUCAGCGCAAGCGAAGCUCUUGAUCGAAGCCCCGGUAAACGGCGGCCGUAACUAUAACGGUCCUAAGGUAGCGAAAUUCCUUGUCGGGUAAGUUCCGACCUGCACGAAUGGCGUAAUGAUGGCCAGGCUGUCUCCACCCGAGACUCAGUGAAAUUGAACUCGCUGUGAAGAUGCAGUGUACCCGCGGCAAGACGGAAAGACCCCGUGAACCUUUACUAUAGCUUGACACUGAACAUUGAGCCUUGAUGUGUAGGAUAGGUGGGAGGCUUUGAAGUGUGGACGCCAGUCUGCAUGGAGCCGACCUUGAAAUACCACCCUUUAAUGUUUGAUGUUCUAACGUGGACCCGUGAUCCGGGUUGCGGACAGUGUCUGGUGGGUAGUUUGACUGGGGCGGUCUCCUCCUAAAGAGUAACGGAGGAGCACGAAGGUUGGCUAAUCCUGGUCGGACAUCAGGAGGUUAGUGCAAUGGCAUAAGCCAGCUUGACUGCGAGCGUGACGGCGCGAGCAGGUGCGAAAGCAGGUCAUAGUGAUCCGGUGGUUCUGAAUGGAAGGGCCAUCGCUCAACGGAUAAAAGGUACUCCGGGGAUAACAGGCUGAUACCGCCCAAGAGUUCAUAUCGACGGCGGUGUUUGGCACCUCGAUGUCGGCUCAUCACAUCCUGGGGCUGAAGUAGGUCCCAAGGGUAUGGCUGUUCGCCAUUUAAAGUGGUACGCGAGCUGGGUUUAGAACGUCGUGAGACAGUUCGGUCCCUAUCUGCCGUGGGCGCUGGAGAACUGAGGGGGGCUGCUCCUAGUACGAGAGGACCGGAGUGGACGCAUCACUGGUGUUCGGGUUGUCAUGCCAAUGGCACUGCCCGGUAGCUAAAUGCGGAAGAGAUAAGUGCUGAAAGCAUCUAAGCACGAAACUUGCCCCGAGAUGAGUUCUCCCUGACCCUUUAAGGGUCCUGAAGGAACGUUGAAGACGACGACGUUGAUAGGCCGGGUGUGUAAGCGCAGCGAUGCGUUGAGCUAACCGGUACUAAUGAACCGUGAGGCUUAACCUUACAACGCCGAAGGUGUUU
rnacentral:rRNA from 1 species